UGGGGAAUAUUGCACAAUGGAGGGAACUCUGAUGCAGCGACGCCGCGUGAACGAAGAAGGCUUUCGAGUCGUAAAGUUCUUUUAUAUGGGAAGAUAAUGACGGUACCAUAAGAAAAAGCCCCGGCUAACUACGUGCCAGCAGCCGCGGUAAUACGUAGGGGGCUAGCGUUGUCCGGAAUCACUGGGCGUAAAGGGUUCGCAGGCGGAAAUGCAAGUCAGGUGUAAAAGGCAGUAGCUUAACUACUGUAAGCACUUGAAACUGCAUAUCUUGAGAAGAGUAGAGGUAAGUGGAAUUUUUAGUGUAGCGGUGAAAUGCGUAGAUAUUAAAAAGAAUACCGGUGGCGAAGGCGACUUACUGGGCUCAUUCUGACGCUGAGGAACGAAAGCGUGGGUAGCAAACAGG
rnacentral:rRNA from 1 species